rnacentral:rRNA from 1 species
UACGGAGGGUGCAAGCGUUAUCCGGAUUCACUGGGUUUAAAGGGUGCGUAGGCGGGCAGGUAAGUCAGUGGUGAAAUCUCUGGGCUUAACCCAGAAACUGCCGUUGAUACUAUUUGUCUUGAAUAUCAUGGAGGUAAGCGGAAUAUGUCAUGUAGCGGUGAAAUGCUUAGAUAUGACAUAGAACACCGAUAGCGAAGGCAGCUUACUACAUGUUCAUUGACGCUGAGGCACGAAAGCGUGGGGAGCAAACAGG